CUCAUAACUCGCAUCUACAACGAUUCACAUGGAAAACAUGAUCGAAGAUAAUCGAUGAUCAUAACACAAUCGCCAGCUUUUUUAUGCACAAGAAGAAGAAUAUGUCAAUAAAACAGCGGAGGGAAGAAAGCGAAAAUACAUAUUCCUGGUGCGUUUACGAAGCAACGUGGGUUGCAUACUGCUCCUAUUUCUACUAAAAUGUCCGGAAACACAGCUAUUUGGCUUCUUAUAGUAUUUCUUGACGAGCAGGUAUUGUUGCUUGUCUCUCGGACUCUCAAAAAUUUCAGGCACCCUUGGCACAUUCAAGAGGUUCUGACAAGCGUUGUUUCGCUAUAAUGGCCUCUGUUGAAAGGCUUGUUCGCUGGUCGCCACGGUGCAAUAGAAACAGAGAAGAAAGCAUUGUCAUGCUUCUGCCAUGUCUGGUUAAGAUAGGCGUGUUAAGUAUGGUUCUGAAUUGUAUGACUUGUUUAGAAGGAACUUGUUUAUCAGAAAAGCUGUUCACUCAAUCAAAGUCACCUCUUUCCUUAUCGAUAUGUGUAUCGGCAAGCAUUGCAUAGGUUUAUGUGGAAGCCACACACAUUGUCAUUCUAUUAGGGGCUAUAUUCAAGUAUAUCACGUUUUCAGGUGACUUCAUAGGCAAAAGUUAGUAAAAGAGGCACUUAAAAAAUCGCCUACAAAUACGCAAAAAAAUGGGCCAUCCUCGGAUCACGGAGUUUAAGUAUUUGUAAUAUUGUUGUUUUAAACUGGGGGGACAGCGCUUGACUCACUCAAUUGACUCGAGCAAUUAAAAGCAAUUUGUGGAGGUAUGCGUUGUGUACACUGCCGCAUUGCAUUGGAGGUGUCGGAAAGGCACUAUUUCCUCAUCGAUAAACACACACACUAUUCCGAGGUGCAUUAC